AUUGAACGCUGGCGGAAUGCUUUACACAUGCAAGUCGAACGGCAGCACGGGGGCAGCCCUGGUGGCGAGUGGCGAACGGGUGAGUAAUACAUCGGAACGUGCCCGGUCGUGGGGGAUAACGUAGCGAAAGUUACGCUAAUACCGCAUACGAUCUGAGGAUGAAAGCGGGGGACCUUCGGGCCUCGCGCGAUCGGAGCGGCCGAUGUCAGAUUAGGUAGUUGGUGGGGUAAAGGCCUACCAAGCCGACGAUCUGUAGCUGGUCUGAGAGGACGACCAGCCACACUGGGACUGAGACACGGCCCAGACUCCUACGGGAGGCAGCAGUGGGGAAUUUUGGACAAUGGGCGGAAGCCUGAUCCAGCCAUUCCGCGUGCAGGACGAAGGCCUUCGGGUUGUAAACUGCUUUUGUACGGAAAGAAAAGGCUCUGGCUAAUACCUGGGGCUCAUGACGGUACCGUAAGAAUAAGCACCGGCUAACUACGUG
rnacentral:rRNA from 1 species